rnacentral:lncRNA from 12 species
UUUUUUUUUCUGGUUUCAUUGAGGUAUAGUUGACAAAAGUUGUAUCUAUUUCAGAUAGAUAUUCUGCACAGUGUGAUAUUUUGAUAUAUGUAUCCAUUGUGAAAUGACUGUCACAGUGAAGCUAAUGAGCACAUCCAUAGGAUGUACAUAUUGUGAUGCAAACAAACACUUUCUCAACAUUUCUACAUCUGCUUCUUGUUCAUAGAAGAGCCGGGAUCUGUUUGAAAGUUGAUGCGAAUCUUGGUCUUGUACUUGCAGAGGAAAAUAAACUAUGUGACAAGAAAUACUAGGUCACUAAUAUGCAGAUUGUUCCUUUACUUAGAUGAUGAUAUUGAGACAGGAGACAGUGAGAUUAUGCAUCUUGGAUUAAAUUACAUAUUUGCAUCUUAACAGGAAAAUAAAUCAACUGCUAGUCUCUAUGAUUACUCAGCUAACUCUGCUUUUAGGGAGAAUCGUGUUUCUACAAAUAAACUAUGUAUCUGCAUCCUUUCCAACUCUACAGUCUCUGGAUUAACAAAACACUCCUCAGAUUUCACCUUCCUCUUGGAAGUUUUAUGUUCCUUUGGAUUUUGGAUGGGGCCAAACUUCUUGGGGCUAUUGUGCACUCGGCUAGAUGCCGCCAGUCCAGGUACCUGGAUUCCGAUACAGAACACGAAGAAGUAAGAGGAGAAGCAGGAAUUCCUUGGCACUGGGAACAGUGUCUGGCAUGACUGCAGGGCAUAUCCGUGAAAAUGUUCAGGAGGCCUUCAGAUGGAUGUGGUGCUCAAGAGCUGCUACGACCCAAGUUCAAGUUAUUGGCCUUGCUGUUACCAUGGUAAUGAUGGAUGACAUCAUUGAAUUCAGAAGCAGGUGAGGAGAAAGAGGAUGCUCUGUCCCAGAGUCUUGCACAUCCUGGAGUUGAUGUGCUUCCGGAAAUGAACUGGGUGUUGAGAAAGUGAUCCAAGUGAGAAGGAAUCGGAUGCAUAAUCAUCGGUGUUUCCCCACAGAUCUUAAUUCCUUAAAGUAAGAACCAGAGAGUCAGAUGCUGGGAAACCAAGAGGCUGUAUUCCCACUUUGAGAAACAAAGCUGCAAGAACCUAGAGCACUGGGGAGCUAAAUCCCAUAGAAAUCUUCAAUCUGGGAUUUCAGAUUGCUUAAUCAUGUGUGGAAAAAUGGAUAGUCUCCAAUGAUCUAGAAGUAAUUAUUUAAUGAUUAACUGUGUUUGUAAAUUAAAUGUUCAACCUGAGGAUAGGAGAGAAUUUGAUGAAGACUUCAGUGUCCAUUCUUACAUUCUCAUCCCUCACAACACACACACAAUAUUUUUAAGGAUGAAAUAAUGUACACAACCUAAAUAAUAGCUGUCAUGUAUGUGCCUCUUAGAGACCAAGACCUCAUAUGUUACUUUAUUUAAUCCUCAGAUAGUAUGGCAAAGUAGCAGUAAAAUGAUAAAUGAUUCCCGUUUUACACAACAGGAAACAGAUUUGCAGUCUGAGGCAAUAGGUCUGAGACCAAUGACUCUGAUGGAGUGUUUGUAAGUAUUAUCUGAAGGAAGUUCAUGAGUGAGGUCAUCCAGCUCCUAAGUUGGAAAUUCUGAACUUGGCUCCAGGACUAUCCUCCUAGCUUAUAUUAUGACUUGCAAGCGUCUCUUAUUUCAUCAUUUCCAUGCUCAGAAUGGAUGGGGACCUAAUAAGAAAGGGGAAGGUGUGCCUGAAAUCCUCAGCCUUCCCACAAAAACAUGUGAGCACUCGUGAGCCUAGCAAAUCCAGGUCAUGGACAAUUGGGGUGGUGCUCUAAUCCAUGACUUGAUGGGAUUUUCCUGUAGCUGGAUUGAGAGAGGCAUCCAGCUGGGGAGAAGAUGAUUAGUUAAUUGGUAG